UCCUGAGUUCUUUAAACAUAUUCUUUUUCUAUGGUUUAUAUUUUCUUGUUGAUUCAAAUUUUUUUCUUGUUACUUGAUACUCAAAGCGGGAUGUCCAUGUCCAUUAGCUCAGUCCAAUAAUAUCCAUUUCGAUAUUGGACAAAUAGUGUCUAUGUCCACUAAGGUCCAUGUCCAUUAACGUUCAUGCUCAUUAAAGCUCAUGUCCAACUGGGCUGUCCAAUGAGCAUAACAUAACCAAAUUUUAACACAAUAGUAUUUGCUUCAUAUUUCAACCAAAUUAUCAAAUCCAAAAGCAAAUUUAAACAACAAAGUAUUAAA
rnacentral:sRNA from 1 species